AGGGUUCGAUUAUGGCUCAGAACGUACGCUGGCGGCACGCCUAAUACAUGCAAGUCGAACGGAGUAGCAAUACUUAGUGGCAGACGGGUGAGUAACAUGUGGGUAUCUUCCCUUUGGUGAGGAAUAACACGAGGAAACUUGUGCUAAUACCUCAUAAGUCUUUACGGAGAAAGCUUUAUGCGCCAAUGGAUGAGCCCGCACUUGAUUAGUUUGUUGGUAGGGUAAUGGCCUACCAAGACUUUGAUCAAUAGCUGAUUUGAGAGGAUGAUCAGCCACAUUGGGACUGAGACACGGCCCAAACUCCUACGGGAGGCAGCAGUAGGGAAUCUUGCACAAUGGGGGAAACCCUGAUGCAGCGAUGCCGCGUGAGUGAAGAAGGCCCUUGGGUUGUAAAGCUCUUUCGUCGGGGAAGAAAAUGACUGUACCCGAAUAAGAAGGUCCGGCUAACUUCGUGCCAGCCGCCGCGGUAAUAC
rnacentral:rRNA from 1 species